rnacentral:rRNA from 1 species
UGGGGAAUAUUGGACAAUGGGCGCAAGCCUGAUCCAGCCAUGCCGCGUGAGUGAUGAAGGCCCUAGGGUUGUAAAGCUCUUUCGCCAGGGACGAUAAUGACGGUACCUGGAUAAGAAGCCCCGGCUAACUUCGUGCCAGCAGCCGCGGUAAUACGAAGGGGGCUAGCGUUGUUCGGAAUCACUGGGCGUAAAGCGCACGUAGGCGGAUCUUUAAGUCAGGGUGAAAUCCCGAGGCUCAACCUCGGAACUGCCUUUGAUACUGGAGGUCUCGAGUUCGGGAGAGGUGAGUGGAACUGCGAGUGUAGAGGUGAAAUUCGUAGAUAUUCGCAAGAACACCAGUGGCGAAGGCGGCUCACUGGCCCGAUACUGACGCUGAGGUGCGAAAGCGUGGGGAGCAAAACAGGAUUAGAUACCCUGGUAGUCCACGCCGUAAACGAUGGAUGCUAGCCGUUGGGGAGCUUGCUCUUCAGUGGCGCAGCUAACGCUUUAAGCAUCCCGCCUGGGGAGUACGGUCGCAAGAUUAAAACUCAAAGGAAUUGACGGGGUCAUAGCUGUUUCCUG